rnacentral:SRP_RNA from 1 species
GCUGGGCGCUGUGGCGCGCGCCUGUAAUCCCAGCUUCCUGGGAGGCUAAGAUCGGCGGAUCAUGGGUGUUCGGGACUACGGUGUUGUGUGAAGUGGGCGUCUGCACCGGGCCUGGCACCAACAUGGGGUUACCAGGGGAGCCCGGGGGUACCAGGUUGUCUAAGGAGGGGGGGACCCAGCCCAGGCUGGACACGGAGCAGGUCAAAAGCUACACUAAAAUAUCUUUCACCUAUAAGUUGGACCAUGGCACAUCUUCUCCAAUAUU